rnacentral:lncRNA from 1 species
AAGGCUCUGCUAAGUGUUAUCUCUGUAGCAGGAUGGUACAAGGAAAGGCUCCGCUAAGUGUUAUCUCUGUAGCAGGAUGGUUACUAGGAAAGGCUCCGCUAAGUGUUAUCUGUAGCAGGAUGGUACUAGGAAAGGCUCCGCUAAGUGUUAUCUCUGUAGAAGGAUGGUUACUAGGAAAGGCUCCACUAAGUGUUAUCUCUGUAGAAGGAUGGUUACUAGGAAAGGCUCCGCUAAGUGUUAUCUAUGUAGAAGGAUGGUUACAAGGAAAGGCUCUGCUAAGUGUUAUCUCUGUAGAAGGAUGGUUACUAGGAAAGGCUCCACUAAGUGUUAUCUCUGUAGCAGGAUGGUUACUAGGAAAGGCUCCGCUAAGUGUUAUCUCUGUAGCAGGAUGGUUACUAGGAAAGGCUCCGCUAAGUGUUAUCUCUGUAGAAGGAUGGUUACUAGGAAAGGCUCCACUAAGUGUUAUCUCUGUAGCAGGAUGGUUACUAGGAAAGGCUCCGCUAAGUGUUAUCUCUGUAGAAGGAUGGUUACUAGGAAAGGCUCCACUAAGUGUUAUCUCUGUAGCAGGAUGGUUACUAGGAAAGGCUCCGCUAAGUGUUAUCUCUGUAGCAGGAUGGUUACUAGGAAAGGCUCCGCUAAGUUGUAUCUCUGUAGAAGGAUGGUUACUAGGAAAGGCUCCACUAAGUGUUAUCUCUGUAGCAGGAUGGUACUAGGAAAGGCUCCGCUCAGUGUUAUCUCUGUAGCAGGAUGGUUACUAGGAAAGGCUCCGCUAAGUGUUAUCUCUGUAGCAGGAUGGUACUAGGAAAGGCUCCACUAAGUGUUAUCUCUGUAGCAGGAUGGUUACUAGGAAAGGCUCCGCUAAGUGUUAUCUCUGUAGCAGGAUGGUACUAGGAAAGGCUCCGCUCAGUGUUAUCUCUGUAGCAGGAUGGUUACUAGGAAAGGCUCCGCUAAGUGUUAUCUCUGUAGCAGGAUGGUUACUAGGAAAGGCUCCGCUAAGUUUUAUCUCUGUAGAGGAUACUGCAGAUUUACACCUACUCCAGAAUGAACCCUCAAUCCAUUAAUGGAAAUCUGAAUGAAUUGGACAGGUGAAAGCAUAGCGCCCUUAUCACCUUGAUUAUACCCAUCCGGUAUCUCUGAGUGCGAUGGGGUUAAGGGUUGAUUUGGGAUUGGGCCUUUGAACACUUCCCGUCCCUGAAGUCGAACACUUAGUGCCUUAGUACCCUUUCAUAAGUGCACAUCCAUGCACACCAACUUGCUUUCUGACAGUCCCUUGUGGUAUGUAGCUGUUUGCGUUACGAUCAUUACCCCAUUCAUCUUUAUUUGUGUCUGGCUACUUAAGGCUUCAUCAAUAUCCCUGUGUUAGGUGUCCGAAGGUGAAUGCUCGGUGCAUGUGCAAGUGCAAUUCCUUACAGACCAGCCUCUGUGGAUAGAAUCUGGGAUUCCUUUGAGCUUUUGCUAAACCUAUUGAUCCUCAGCAAUGCUACGGAGGCACACCAAACAGUACAGUCUUCAAAAAGCCAUUGCAAAAACGAGGUAGCCUGUGAAGUUCUGCAGUUGGAACUUUUCCCCAGUAACAUGUUGGUGAGUGAUUAUCAGAGUGUGUUUGGAGAGGUUGUGUGGCAGUGGCAGUGUUUAAAUGAGCUGUGUGGCAGUGGAGGUGUUUUAAUGAGCUGUGUGGCAGUGGAGGUGUUUUAAUGAGCUGUGUGGCAGUGGCAGUGUUUAAAUGAGCUGUGUGGCAGUGGAGGUGUUUUAAUGAGCUGUGUGGCAGUGUUUAAAUGAGCUGUGUGGCAGUGGAGGUGUUUUAAUGAGCUGUGUGGCGGUGGAGGUGUUUUAAUGAGCUGUGUGGCAGUGGAGGUGUUUUAAUGAGCUGUGUGGCAGUGGACGUGUUUAAAUGAGCUGUGUGGCGGUGGAGGUGUUUUAAUGAGCUGUGUGGCGGUGGAGGUGUUUUAAUGAGCUGUGUGGCAGUGGAGGUGUUUUAAUGAGCUGUGUGGCAGUGGACGUGUUUAAAUGAGCUGUGUGGCGGUGGAGGUGUUCUAAUGAGCUGUGUGGCAGUGGAGGUGUUUUAAUGAGGUGUGUGGCAGUGGAGGUGUUUUAAUGAGCUGUGUGGCAGUGGCGGUGUUUAAAUGAGCUGUGUGGCAGUGGAGGUGUUUUAAUGAGCUGUGUGGCAGUGGAGGUGUUUUAAUGAGCUGUGUGGCGGUGGAGGUGUUCUAAUGAGCUGUGUGGCGGUGGAGGUGUUUUAAUGAGCUGUGUGGCUCAGGAAGCUCUGGCAGGGAGCCUGGCUAAUGAGGGUUAGCCCUGGCACAUGCGCCACCAUGUGACGUUCUGUCUUCUGUAGGUGCCCAUGCCUGCCCGUGUGCCACACACCCCACUCCCAUUCAGCUCCUCUGCCAACCCUGUUGCCUUAGCUUUUCUGAGCAGCUUCGGAUCUGAAUCCACUACGACUCGCCGUCGUCCUCAGGAGAUGGUUUGGGGCGAGUCAAAAGGCGAGAAAGAAAAACAAAACAUGCCCAAAAGAUUUCAAAGAGGAGAAAAAAAGCGGCACCAAAUGCUAGCUGCUGUUUGAUCAUAGUGGCUCACGUUAGACACCCUCAUCAUGGACAUGUUAUUCUGUAUUUCCUAGCUUGUGCCCCUCACGUUAGACACCCU